rnacentral:rRNA from 1 species
UACGGGGGGGCAAGCGUUGUUCGGAAUUACUGGGCGUAAAGGGCUCGUAGGCGGCCAACUAAGUCAGACGUGAAAUCCCUCGGCUUAACCGGGGAACUGCGUCUGAUACUGGAUGGCUUGAGGUUGGGAGAGGGAUGCGGAAUUCCAGGUGUAGCGGUGAAAUGCGUAGAUAUCUGGAGGAACACCGGUGGCGAAGGCGGCAUCCUGGACCAAUCUGACGCUGAGUGAGUCGAAAGCCAGGGGAGCAAACGGG